CCUGAGGUUGUGUGUCUGUGUGUGUGCGUAUAAAAACAUAGGUUCUGAGGAUUGAGCGCUGUGUCAUUGUAAUUAGGCUGCAGGUCGGUGACUCUAUCUCAGAUAUUCAGACACGUUAAGCCUGUGUGCAGAGGUUGAUGUAUGUACUCGUCUGCUUGUCUCAGACCCCGUGGAGUGGCAGCUUAUCUCGCUGUUUUUCUCUGUCCUGUCACAGGUUUCAAGUGGGAGCGAGGCAGCGGAGCCUCGCUCAGUGUGGAGUGCCUCGUCGUCAGAAUGCUGAGGGAAGUAGAGACUUCCUGUGGUGCUGGGACGAUCGGAGGCCCGCGUGGCAGGAUGGAGCCCAGCAUUAUGCAAACGACACAGCAGGGUCAAUGGGGCUCAUUGAUCGUCCAGCUUCUGGUGGACGCCACAUGAAGGACGGAACAAAACAGCGGGGCAUGAAGGCAGAGUCGACUGGAUCUGAAGGAGCAGGAGUCCUCCAGGCGCUGGAGAUACAAGCAGGGAGAAGAAAGGGAACAGGAGAUUGA
rnacentral:lncRNA from 1 species